GUAUUCAAAGUGGACAUGAAUGGCAAAAAUAUCAGCUAUUGAGAAGAUGUUUACAGCUGGACAGUCUUGAGACAGGCAUCUUGUGUCUAACUGGGUUGAUGGUGUCUCUUUAAAUCAGAACAGAAUUAGUGCUUUGUGGAAUAAUCCCAAACAGUUUCUGCUGACCUUUAUCAAAUCCAGUUUUGUAUCCUGCACUGUUACCUCUGCUUAAGAUACUGCAGUGAUGGAAGCUAGAGAAACAAAUGACAUAGGAGGAAUGCCAUUAUUACCACACCAGCCUGCCUGUAGCAGCCUCAGUGACUCAGUUGUUACGGAACUCGAUCCAUUUGGAAACUCUUUAGUGCUGAACUCUAACAGCUCUGCAGGCCUGUGCUUGGCUGAAAAGUCAUCUGGUGUGGAGGGUCCCACAGUUUGUUUUGCUUGGGGUACUCCAAGGGAGGGAGUAACAACAGCUUCCAGAGUUGUACCUCCAUCCCUUUCUCAUCCAGUCUCCUAUAAUACCCUUUUUGGUCUUUCCCCCCAUUUUCUAUAUCUUCUUUAG
rnacentral:lncRNA from 1 species